AAGUAAAAGUCGUAACAAGGUCUCCGUAGGUGAACCUGCGGAGGGAUCAUUACACAAAUAUGAAGGCGGGCUGGAAUCUCUCGGGGUUACAGCCUUGCUGAAUUAUUCACCCUUGUCUUUUGCGUACUUCUUGUUUCCUUGGUGGGUUCGCCCACCACUAGGACAAACAUAAACCUUUUGUAAUUGCAAUCAGCGUCAGUAACAAAUUAAUAAUUACAACUUUCAACAACGGAUCUCUUGGUUCUGGCAUCGAUGAAGAACGCAGCGAAAUGCGAUAAGUAGUGUGAAUUGCAGAAUCAGUGAAUCAUCGAAUCUUUGAACGACAUUGCGCCCUUUGGUAUUCCAAAGGGCAUGCCUGUUCGAGCGUCAUUUGUACCCUCAAGCUUUGCUUGGUGUUGGGCGUCUUGUCUCUAGCUUUGCUGGAGACUCGCCUUAAAGUAAUUGGCAGCCGGCCUACUGGUUUCGGAGCGCAGCACAAGUCGCACUCUCUAUCAGCAAAGGUCUAGCAUCCAUUAAGCCUUUUUUCAACUUUUGACCUCGGAUCAGGUAGGGAUACCCGCUGAACUUAAGCAUA
rnacentral:rRNA from 1 species